CUCUCUCUUUCUCUUCUCUCUCACUCCUCUUUUUCUCUCUCUCUGCUAGAUCUAUGGCGGCGGCGACUGCAUGUCGUAGAUGAGGCGGAGGAAGUGGCGGCUAGGGUUUGGUUGUCCUGUGGUCAUCGGGAUUUGAGAGGAGACCGGAUUUGGGAGCCUAGGGUUUGGCGGCGGCGGCCCUACCGUCGUUCAGAUCGGAGCAGGAAGAGACGAGCGAGGGGAAGGGAGAUGUGUGGGGGUGGCCGUUGUUUCGCCGGCGGUUGCUAUUACGGUUGUGUAUGUGUGUACUGGGAGAGAAUGUCGAGAUAGGUAACCGGCGGUCUCGUCCUUGUCAGAAGAGAAGAGAGGCCAGGGGUUUUAGAGUGAUUUGUUUGUUUUUUUUUUCUCAUUCUCUUCCUCACGCCGCCUGCGAUCCCAUCUCCGACAAAUCGCCGUCAUUGUCUCGCCUCUCGUUGCCUCGUCUCUCUCUAUCUCUCAUACACCUCGUCGCUCGC
rnacentral:lncRNA from 1 species